AUAGCGUUUUCCUAAUGUAGCUGGCUGGCUAAAUUCAAUUGCCUACGUAUCCAACCAGAAGAGGCAGCAGCACUCACUACACCACAAAGGUUCAGAUGCUGAUUUACCUGUGAACUGGUGGUGGCUGAUGAACAACUUUCUAAAAUGGCUUUAGGAAAUAACUCCAUUUUCAUUUUCCUGAUGCAAUGGAUUUUACCAGACUCCAGAAAAACUUCAUGAAUUAGGCCCUGGAGUUAACUACUUUGCUGUUGUGCGUAGACUCGACAGUGGAGAUGGAUUCGAAGGGAACCUUCGCAGCUAUGACAUCUCUCCGCAGAGGGCUGGGUUUGCUUCUUUUGAUUGGUUGGACGGUGCCAGCCACAGGUUCUGUUGGGAUGUAUCCA